UGCUGAUGAUGCUAUUGAAGAAUGUAAGUAUUUGGAAAGCAAAGGUCUUCUGGAUGUAGAAAGUUUGCAGCUUUAUGCGCUUUCUUAUUGGAAACUUGGAAAAUAUGACCUUGCUCUUUCUAUGGCAAAGAGACUGGCCUCAUCUGCUUUACCAACGGAGCAUCCAUUGGCUGCUGCCUCCGUCAGUUUCAUCUGUAGAUUAGUAUAUCAUAUUUCAGGGAAGGAAUUAGCUAUAAGAAACAUAUUACAACUGCCAAAAAGAGCCUUCCAGAGUUCAAGAGUUAGGCUUGUAGCAUUUGCUAUUCAUGCAUUAGAUGAAAGUCAUCAGCUUGACUCAGUUGUUUCAUGUGUUCGUGAGUCUCUUUCAUCUAACAAAGAGAUUGCUGCGCUGGAUUUCCUGGCCACACUGGGCUUACUA
rnacentral:misc_RNA from 1 species